rnacentral:rRNA from 1 species
ACGGAAGGCAGCAGUGGGGAAUAUUGGGCAAUGGGCGACAGCCUGACCCAGCAACGCCGCGUGAAGGAAGAAGGUCUUCGGAUUGUAAACUUCUUUUAUGAGGGACGAAGGACGUGACGGUACCUCAUGAAUAAGCCACGGCUAACUACGUGCCAGCAGCCGCGGUAAUACGUAGGUGGCAAGCGUUAUCCGGAUUUACUGGGUGUAAAGGGCGUGUAGCCGGGUCGGCAAGUCAGAUGUGAAAUCCACGGGCUUAACUCGUGAACUGCAUUUGAAACUGUUGAUCUUGAGUAUCGGAGAGGCAAUCGGAAUUCCUUGUGUAGCGGUGAAAUGCGUAGAUAUAAGGAGGAACACCGGUGGCGAAGGCGGAUUGCUGGACGACAACUGACGGUGAGGCGCGAAAGCGUGGGGAGCAAACAGGAGUAGAUACCCUGGUA